GACGAACGCUGGCGGCGUGCUUAACACAUGCAAGUCGAACGGUGAACCUGCUUCGGUGGGGGAUCAGUGGCGAACGGGUGAGUAACACGUGGGCAACCUGCCCUCAGCUCUGGGAUAACUCCAAGAAAUUGGGGCUAAUACUGGAUAUGACCGCUGACCGCAUGGUCUGGUGGUGGGAAGAUUUAUCGGCUGGGGAUGGGCCCGCGGCCUAUCAGCUUGUUGGUGGGGUAGUGGCCUACCAAGGCGACGACGGGUAGCCGGCCUGAGAGGGUGACCGGCCACACUGGGACUGAGACACGGACCAGACUCCUACGGGAGGCAGCAGUGGGGAAUAUUGCGCAAUGGGCGCAAGCCUGACGCAGCGACGCCGCGUGGGGGAUGACGGCCUUCGGGUUGUAAACCUCUUUCAGCAGGGACGAAGCGAAAGUGACGGUACCUGCAGAAGAAGCACCGGCCAACUACGUG
rnacentral:rRNA from 1 species